rnacentral:rRNA from 1 species
UACGGAAGGUCCAGGCGUUAUCCGGAUUUAUUGGGUUUAAAGGGAGCGUAGGCCGCUUUUUAAGCGUGUUGUGAAAUGUUGGGGCUCAACCCCAUCACUGCAGCGCGAACUGGAAGGCUUGAGAGUGCGCAACGCAGGUGGAAUUUGUGGUGUAGCGGUGAAAUGCUUAGAUAUCACGAAGAACUCCGAUUGCGAAGGCAACUUGCGGGAGCACGACUGACGCUGAAGCUCGAAAGUGCGGGUAUCGAACAGGAUUAGAUACCCUGGUAGUCCGCACGGUAAACGAUGGAUGCCCGCUGUGUGCGUAUGACGUACGCGGCCAAGCGAAAGCAUUAAGCAUCCCACCUGGGGAGUACGCCGGCAACGGUGAAACUCAAAGGAAUUGACGGGGGCCCGCACAAGCGGAGGAACAUGUGGUUUAAUUCGAUGAUACGCGAGGAACCUUACCCGGGCUUGAAUUGCAGGUGAAUGCGAUAGAGAUAUCAAAGUCCUUCGGGACACCUGUGAAGGUGCUGCAUGGUUGUCGUCAGCUCGUGCCGUGAGGUGUCGGCUUAAGUGCCAUAACGAGCGCAACCCCUCUCUUCAGUUGCCAUCAGUUUAAGCUGGGCACUCUGGAGACACUGCCACCGUAAGGUGUGAGGAAGGUGGGGAUGACGUCAAAUCAGCACGGCCCUUACGUCCGGGGCUACACACGUGUUACAAUGGGGAGUACAGAGAGUCGGGGUCCCGCAAGGUCCCCCUAAUCAAGAAAGCUCCUCCCAGUUCGGACUGGGGUCUGCAACCCGACCCCACGAAGCUGGAUUCGCUAGUAAUCGCGCAUCAGCCAUGGCGCGGUGAAUACGUUCCCGGGCCU